rnacentral:rRNA from 1 species
UACGUAGGGUGCAAGCGUUGUCCGGAAUUAUUGGGCGUAAAGAGCUCGUAGGCGGUUUGUCGCGUCGGCUGUGAAAUCCCGAGGCUCAACCUCGGGCCUGCAGUCGAUACGGGCAAACUAGAGUGUGGUAGGGGAGACUGGAAUUCCUGGUGUAGCGGUGAAAUGCGCAGAUAUCAGGAGGAACACCGGCGGCGAAGGCGGGUCUCUGGGCCAUAACUGACGCUGAGGAGCGAAAGCGUGGGGAGCGAACAGG